rnacentral:rRNA from 1 species
GACGAACGCUGGCGGCGUGGAUUAGGCAUGCAAGUCGAACGGUAUCAUCCUUUCGGGGGUGAGAGAGUGGCGAACUGGUGAGUAACACGUAGGUUAUCUACCCUCAAGACGGGGACAACCCAGGGAAACUUGGGCUAAUACCGGAUGUGAGCAACUUUUAGUUGUUUGAAAGGUGGCGUAAGCUGUCGCUUGGGGAUGAGCCUGCGUCCUAUUAGUUAGUUGGUGAGGUAACGGCUCACCUAGGCAAUGAUAGGUAGGCGGCCUUAACGGGUGGUCGCCCACACUGGGAUUGAGAUACGGCCCAGACUCCUACGGGAGGCAGCAGUCGAGAAUAGUCUACAAUGGUCGGAAGACUGAUAGUGUGACGCCGCGUGAACGAUGAAUCCCUUCGGGGUGUAAAGUUCUUUUAUAUGUGAGCAGUGCUUCUUAUAUUAACAGUAUGGGGAGAGAGAUAUUAGCAUAUGAAUAAGCAACGGCUAACUCCGUGCCAGCAGCCGCGGUAAUCACG